GCUUACGGCCAUACCAACCUGAAAACGCCCAAUCUCGUCUGAUCUCGGAAGCUAAGCAGGGUCGGGCCUGGUUAGUACUUGGAUGGGAGGCCGCCUGGGAAUACCAGGUGCUGUAAGCU
rnacentral:rRNA from 1 species